UAGCGGCGGACGGGUGAGUAAUGCCUAGGAAAUUGCCCUGAUGUGGGGGAUAACCAUUGGAAACGAUGGCUAAUACCGCAUAAUGCCUACGGGCCAAAGAGGGGGACCUUCGGGCCUCUCGCGUCAGGAUAUGCCUAGGUGGGAUUAGCUAGUUGGUGAGGUAAUGGCUCACCAAGGCGACGAUCCCUAGCUGGUCUGAGAGGAUGAUCAGCCACACUGGAACUGAGACACGGUCCAGACUCCUACGGGAGGCAGCAGUGGGGAAUAUUGCACAAUGGGCGCAAGCCUGAUGCAGCCAUGCCGCGUGUGUGAAGAAGGCCUUCGGGUUGUAAAGCACUUUCAGUCGUGAGGAAGGUGGUAGUGUUAAUAGCACUAUCAUUUGACGUUAGCGACAGAAGAAGCACCGGCUAACUCCGUGCCAGCAGCCGCGGUAAUACGGAGGGUGCGAGCGUUAAUCGGAAUUACUGGGCGUAAAGCGCAUGCAGGUGGUUUGUUAAGUCAGAUGUGAAAGCCCGGGGCUCAACCUCGGAAUAGCAUUUGAAACUGGCAGACUAGAGUACUGUAGAGGGGGGUAGAAUUUCAGGUGUAGCGGUGAAAUGCGUAGAGAUCUGAAGGAAUACCGGUGGCGAAGGCGGCCCCCUGGACAGAUACUGACACUCAGAUGCGAAAGCGUGGGGAGCAAACAGGAUUAGAUACCCUGGUAGUCCACGCCGUAAACGAUGUCUACUUGGAGGUUGUGGCCUUGAGCCGUGGCUUUCGGAGCUAACGCGUUAAGUAGACCGCCUGGGGAGUACGGUCGCAAGAUUAAAACUCAAAUGAAUUGACGGGGGCCCGCACAAGCGGUGGAGCAUGUGGUUUAAUUCGAUGCAACGCGAAGAACCUUACCUACUCUUGACAUCCAGAGAACUUUCCAGAGAUGGAUUGGUGCCUUCGGGAACUCUGAGACAGGUGCUGCAUGGCUGUCGUCAGCUCGUGUUGUGAAAUGUUGGGUUAAGUCCCGCAACGAGCGCAACCCUUAUCCUUGUUUGCCAGCGAGUAAUGUCGGGAACUCCAGGGAGACUGCCGGUGAUAAACCGGAGGAAGGUGGGGACGACGUCAAGUCAUCAUGGCCCUUACGAGUAGGGCUACACACGUGCUACAAUGGCGCAUACAGAGGGCAGCAAGCUAGCGAUAGUGAGCGAAUCCCAAAAAGUGCGUCGUAGUCCGGAUUGGAGUCUGCAACUCGACUCCAUGAAGUCGGAAUCGCUAGUAAUCGUGGAUCAGAAUGCCACGGUGAAUACGUUCCCGGGCCUUGUACACACCGCCCGUCACACCAUGGGAGUGGGCUGCAAAAGAAGUAGGUAGUUUAACCUUCGGGAGGACGCUUACC
rnacentral:rRNA from 1 species